UUGAUCCUGGCUCAGAAUCAACGCUGGCGGCGUGCCUAACACAUGCAAGUCGAACGAGAAAGUGGAGCAAUCCAUGAGUAAAGUGGCGACCGGGUGAGUUACACGUGACCAAUCUACCCUUGAGUGGGGGAUAACCUCGGGAAACCGGGUCUAAUACCGCAUAACAUCCUCGGAACGGAAGUUCUGGAGAUCAAAGGAGUAAUUCGCUUAAGGAGGAGGUCGCGGCUGAUUAGCUAGUUGGCGGGGUAAUGGCCCACCAAGGCAAAGAUCGGUAGCCGGCCUGAGAGGGCGCACGGCCAUACUGGAACUGAAACACGGUCCAGACUCCUACGGGAGGCAGCAGUGGGGAUUUUUGCGCAAUGGGGGAAGCCCUGACGCAGCAACGCCGCGUGGAGGAUGUAGUCCCUUGGGACGUAAACUCCUUUCGACCCGGACGAUAAUGACGGUACUGGUGGAAGAAGCCCCGGCUAACUUCGUGCCAGCAGCCGCGGUAAUAAGGU
rnacentral:rRNA from 1 species